UAUGUGAUCGUCUCUCGCAUAUCAAUAAGCGGAGGAAAAGAAACUAACAAGGAUUCCCCUAGUAACGGCGAGUGAAGCGGGAAGAGCUCAAAUUUGAAAUCUUAAAGGGUUUCCCUUUACGAAUUGUAGUUUAAAGAAGUGUUUUCUGUUGAGGUUUUGGUAAAGAGUUCUUUGGAAUAGGACAUCAUAGAGGGUGAGAAUCCCGUAUUUGACCUUUACUUUCAACUUUGUGAUACACUUUCAAAGAGUCGGAUUGUUUGGGAAUGCAGUCCAAAAUGGGUGGUAAAUUUCAUCUAAAGCUAAAUAUUGGCGAGAGACCGAUAGCGAACAAGUACCGUGAGGGAAAGAUGAAAAGAACUUUGAAAAGAGAGUUAAACAGUACGUGAAAUUGUCAAAAGGGAAGCGUUUGACACCAGUGUUGUUUUUCUGAAAAUCAAUUAAAGAACUGUUUAUGCUAAGUUGUUUAGACUUUAUCAGCUAUCUGUUUAGUUUUGAGCUUUUCUUUAAUGCACUUUUCAGUUAACAAGUCAACAUCAAUUUCUUUUGCUGUAAAAAAGCUUGAGGAAGGUGGCUUGAGAUUCGUCUUAAGUGUUUAUAGCCUCUUGCCUAUGCAGUCGGAGAGAUUGAGGUCUGCAGCGUAGAUCCUUCGGGGCUAAAUGCAUUUGUGCUAAGUUAUAGCAUUUUAUAGACAACUUGUUGACUAUGAUUUGUCUUGUAGCUUACUCGCUUAUGUUAUUUUACCUACGCUUAGGAUGUUGACACACGCGCGUGCUCG
rnacentral:rRNA from 1 species